rnacentral:rRNA from 1 species
UACGAAGGGGGCUAGCGUUGUUCGGAAUUACUGGGCGUAAAGCGCGCGUAGGCGGUGAUCUUUGUCAGAGGUGAAAGCCCGGGGCUCAACUCCGGAAUUGCCUUUGAAACGGGAUCGCUAGAGUCCGGGAGAGGGAUGCAGAAUUCCAGGUGUAGCGGUGAAAUGCGUAGAUAUCUGGAGGAAUACCGGUGGCGAAGGCGAGUCCUGGACCGGCAUUGACGCUGAGGAGCGAAAGCCAGGGGAGCAAAGCGGGG